UUGCUGGCACCCAUGGCCCACAGGCGUGCAGCCCAAACAUGCGAGCACGUGGCUCGCAAGCAUGCAGGACCUAUAGUGCGUGCGGCCCAAAGCACAGCCCUAGUGCAUGCGAUCCAAGGCAGAGUCGCGAUCCAUCGUGCGGUCUAGGAGACUGCAUCAUGCGGUUCACCAUGGUGCUUGUCACAGUCCAUCGGAUGAGCACAUGAUCAUGGGCUAUUUUGGGUGAUCGGAC
rnacentral:lncRNA from 1 species